UGCUAGUCGUACGAAUUUAGAUUCGUGGCGAAUAGCUCAGUAACACGUGGUCAAACUACCCUGUCGAGCACGAUACCCUCGGGAAACUGAGGCUAAUAGUGCAUACGGCUCGAUGCCUGGAACUGGCUCGAGCUCGAAACGCUCCGGCGCGACAGGAUGUGGCUGCGGCCGAUUAGGUAGACGGUGGGGUAACGGCCCACCGUGCCGAUAAUCGGUACGGGUUGUGAGAGCAAGAGCCCGGAGACGGAAUCUGAGACAAGAUUCCGGGCCCUACGGGGCGCAGCAGGCGCGAAACCUUUACACUGCACGACAGUGCGAUAAGGGGACUCCAAGUGCGAGGGCAUACAGUCCUCGCUUUUCACCACCGUAGGAUGGUGGUAGAAUAAGGGCUGGGCAAGACCGGUGCCAGCCGCCGCGGUAAUACCGGCAGCCAAGUGAUGACCGCUAUUAUUGGGCCUAAAGCGUCCGUAGCUGGCCACGCAAGUCCGUCGGGAAAUCUCCCCGCCUAACGGGGAGGCGUCCGGUGGAAACUGUGUGGCUAGGGACCGGAAGAUCCAGAGGGUACGUCUGGGGUAGGAGUGAAAUCCUGUAAUCCUAGACGGACCACCGGUGGCGAAAGCGCUCUGGAAGGACGGAUCCGACAGUGAGGGACGAAAGCUAGGGUCACGAACCGGAUUAGAUACCCGGGUAGUCCUAGCCGUAAACGAUGUCUGCUAGGUGUGGCACAGGCUACGAGCCUGUGCUGUGCCGUAGG
rnacentral:rRNA from 1 species